AUGAACGCUGGCGGCGUGCCUCAUACAUGCCAGUCGAGCGCACAGAUGAGGAGCUUGCUCCUCUGACGUUAGCGGCGGACGGGUGAGUAACACGUGGAUAACCUACCUAUAAGACUGGGAUAACUUCGGGAAACCGGAGCUAAUACCGGAUAAUAUAUUGAACCGCAUGGUUCCAUAGUGAAAGACGGUUUUGCUGUCACUUAUAGAUGGAUCCGCGCCGCAUUAGCUAGUUGGUAAGGUAACGGCUUACCAAGGCAACGAUGCGUAACCGACCUGAGAGGGUGAUCGGCCACACUGGAACUGAGACACGGUCCAGACUCCUACGGGAGGCAGCAGUAGGGAAUCUUCCGCAAUGGGCGAAAGCCUGACGGAGCAACGCCGCGUGAGUGAUGAAGGUCUUCGGAUCGUAAAACUCUGUUAUUAGGGAAGAACAAAUGUGUAAGUAACUAUGCACGUCUUGACGGUACCUAAUCAGAAAGCCACGGCUAACUACGUG
rnacentral:rRNA from 1 species